UGGGAAGGCGAGCAGGGAUGUGAAGAGAUAAUUGCCGCAUGGUAUGAGAAGUGCCACCCGAAGUGAUGCCUCCGACAGCACAAAAGAGGGAGUGACGGCCGCUGCCGAAGCGGGAGAAGGUUUUCUAUGAAGGAGGUCACACGCCUUCACCAAAGGGAGUCGGGGAAGGAACUCAAAGGAAGAACCUGGACGCGGAAACUGCAGCAGGAGCAAUGGAGAAAUGCUGGUUACUGACUGACUUCCUCAGUUUGCUUUUUUAUUCAACUCAUGACUGCUUGUCCAGGGUGGCGCUGCCCACAGUGAGCUAGUUCCUCCCACGCCAAUCAUCAACAGAGAACAUGUUUGCCAAACAUGUCUACAGCCUGUA